AAAACUGGUUUGUUUGCAGUGUGAAUGAAGUUUAACUAUUCUGCCCCUUUGAGACCAGAGACGGUGGACAGAUAGUCCUCUUCCUCUCUCCUUGUCCCCUUCACUCCGCCCAGGAAUUUAGAGGUACUAUGGCUGCAUUGCGAAUUAUGCCCACAAGGUAGUGGUAAAAAACAACCAUUUAUUAUGCUGACAGAUUCUGUGCGUCAGGAAUUGAGAUAGCACAGCAGAUGAAAGAAAGGGGAUACAUCGAAUUUGAGGUCUAUAGAAUUUAAUCAAAGGAUGAAUAGAAGGAUGUUGUUUUACCACCUGCAAUCCUGGAACACUACGAGAUUCCCAGUGGGGAGCCCAAUGCAGAGCUUGAACUCACAACCUUGAGAUCAAGAGUCGGAAGCUUAACUGACUGAGCCACCCAGGUGCCCCACCUCUUGUUUCUUUAUCCAUGAAAUAAGUAUAAACAAUAGAAAAACCUCAAAGUGUAAGAAAAAAUUGUUUAUGUCUGUUCUCCCUGUUUUAUUGCAAGCUCUUUCAGGUCAGGGACUGUGUCUGCCCAAUCUUUGUAGCCUCAGAACCUAACACAAUGCUUGGCACAAGAUAAAUGCUCAUUAAACAUUUGUUAAGUAUUGUUGACUCAAUGGGCAGUAUUUAUCAUCUUGUAUUGGUAGAGUGUGGUCCUACAAUGUGUGCUUCAAGGUACAAUAUAUUGCUAAUGCAGUGAUGUGCUCAUAUAGUAUGUGAACCUGGGCUGUUUAAGAUACCACUACAUAUCACAUGGUGAAGGCCACAGGCUACUACCUGCCUUGAGAAUUCAGGAAUCCAAAGAUAUGAAUCACGCACAGAUGGUUUUUUUCUCCCAGAGCCCGGUAGAGGUGACAUUCCUCUCUGUCAGAUUUCUAAAAUGCACACCAUGAGCCUCAGGGAAUCUCCGAAUCCUAGAUGGCUUUAAUAAACAAAGAGUUUGGAAGGGCCUUUUAGUUUUUUGUAUAACAGUGUUAAUCUGCUAAACAUUUGAAAAGUCUUAAUCUGCAGAAUAUCAAGUAGAGGAGCAGUUGUGUUCUCAGGACAGGGUGCCACAGCAGCAGUGAAAUUGCCACACUGUAUAAAUAUGGAUUAAACACAAAGAAUAAAUAGAAAUUUAGGUACACUUAAUUAUUACAUACU